ACGGAAGGCAGCAGUGGGGAAUAUUGCACAAUGGGGGAAACCCUGAUGCAGCGACGCCGCGUGAGUGAAGAAGUAUUUCGGUAUGUAAAGCUCUAUCAGCAGGAAAGAAAAUGACGGUACCUGACUAAGAAGCCCCGGCUAACUACGUGCCAGCAGCCGCGGUAAUACGUAGGGGGCAAGCGUUAUCCGGAUUUACUGGGUGUAAAGGGAGCGUAGACGGCUUUGCAAGUCUGAAGUGAAAGCCCGGGGCUCAACCCCGGAACUGCUUUGGAAACUGUAGAGCUAGAGUGCAGGAGAGGUGAGUGGAAUUCCUAGUGUAGCGGUGAAAUGCGUAGAUAUUAGGAGGAACACCAGUGGCGAAGGCGGCUUACUGGACUGUAACUGACGUUGAGGCUCGAAGGCGUGGGGAGCAAACAGGAUUAGAUACCCUGGUA
rnacentral:rRNA from 1 species